rnacentral:rRNA from 1 species
UACAGAGGUCCCAAGCGUUGUUCGGAUUCACUGGGCGUAAAGGGUGCGUAGGUGGCUUGGUAAGUUUGAUGUGAAAUCUCCGGGCUUAACCCGGAAAUGGCAUUGAAUACUAUUGAGCUGGAGGUUUGGAGGGGGGACUGGAAUUCUCGGUGUAGCAGUGAAAUGCGUAGAUAUCAAGAGGAACACCAGUGGCGAAGGCGAGUCCCUGGACAACACCUGACACUGAGGCACGAAAGCUAGGGGAGCAAACAGG